GAAUUACCCCAAACUGAGCACUCUCUUCCCACUAAAGAAAGAUAAGCGGUAAAUAUGAGUCACCUUUGUAAAGAGCGAGCCGAGGUAGUACUGCCUCUCAAGCUGUCUAGCGGCUUUCAGCACCAAAGCAGCCGCCGCCACAACCCCCACACCGCCUGGCCACGGUACAGCAGGCAAGUAGUUUCCCUGCCGGCUUCUAAACUCUUUUGAAUAGCUUACUAUAAGCGGUAGUUUUAAGAUAAACAGUGACAAAGCAAGUAAGGAGUUUUGCCACACAUCUUCACACAGGUAUUUCAAAUUGGAGGAGUGAUCUUAAAUCACGUCCGUGCUGCGUAUGAGCACAGAGCUGCGGAUGUCAUGUAUAGGAUUGCAUCAGCUACAUGGCAUGCCAACCACUUCCGAGUGGCCAACAAAAGUCAAGCGAAGCCUUACUGGAGCAGUGAAUUCUCUAGGCCAUAUUGCAGGAAAACUGAUCACAUCUGGUGCGACAGAUAAUAUCACAGCCUGCCGUGAAGACAAGGGAUUGAGGGGGCAACAAAGGACAAAAAAUGGGAUUUAG
rnacentral:lncRNA from 1 species